UUCCUCUUCGUCCUCCUCCUCCCGCUCGCUCCCAUAAGCAUUGCCCUCCUCGUCCGUGCGACUACGGGGAGCCCACGUCAUCUUGUUCUCCUUCUUGAGGCGCCGGCGCGCGUUGGCGAACCAGAAGGGAAAGAAAAACAAAACGCAACACCACACAACAACACCACACAAGAGCCUCUGAGAUGCUCCUUCCUUCCUUACUGCAUUAACCAGCUAUCGACCUGGUUGUGUCCGAUUGCGAUGAUGGGCUGAGAGAAAGAACACCGGAAGAGCCAGGCUGUUCUCAGGAAGGACUCACGCCGGCCACGGGGCCGCCCCUGGCCCAGAGGGUGAACCUCUAGACCCAGGCACAGUGCACAAAGCGCUCGCCGCGGACGCUCUGUGGUCUGGGAUCAGGGCGCCAGGAGCAUACAGAAAAGGUGUACGCCGAGGACACGUGGCGCACGAAGCUGUGCGCGCUGGAGGACAACUACAAGGGGUGCCCUAUGUGUAGCCAGAGGCCCACCAGCUUCGGGGUCGGACACUCCGAACCACCAGCCCCCAUCUCUUCCCUCCCCUGGUCCAGCUCCCCGAUGUGCCCGUGCCCCCCGUCGUUGGGAGCUUCUGCAGCUGUGUCUCCCAGCUCGGACAGAGUUCACUCCUUUCCUCCCAAGGCUCAGAGUCCCCCAGAGGCGGUGCGGGCUGGCUAUCCUUCAGCUUCUUGCAGAGGCUGCUGCGUACGCUCCCCCCCCCCCCAGCUGGGGUUACAGCAGCCACACGGACUUGCAGAUGCAUGGCCUGGCGUAGCACCGGGAGGAAUUCACAUUUGACUGUGAAUCCGGCCUCGGAGCAUCCCAGGAGGCGCGGGCCGGGCGCCGGCACGUCUGCCGUGCAACGCUGGCUGAGCCCUGUAAGCCGUCAGGGCCCGGGAGGCUGUCCCUGGUCCAGAGGCGCUACGGGAAACUUUGAGGCAAACUUUGCAAACUUCUUUCUCGGAGUUAAGAGAGGCCGCCGGUCAGAAAGGCUGCGGCGGCAGCAGCGUGGGCCCCAGGCCGGAUUUGUACACCGCCGAACUGGCCCUGCGGCCCCAGAAGGAGCGCGAGGCUCUCCAGCGUGCCCAUCUCUGCCUGCACCUCCCGGACCAGGGCCCCUGCCACUGGCCUUCGAGUGGCCAGCUCUACGCAGCUCCCGGAAUCUCAGCAUGGAAGGAAAACCGUGGCCCUGUGCACCAGUGGUUUUGUUUCUCUUUCUCUCUGCAAAAACAUCCACUUUCCACCUGCGCUGAGCUUUUUCGCUGAUCUUUUUUUUUUUCUUUCUUUUCCGUCCUGUCUAUUUCUCACACUUUCUGUAUGUUUGAUUUCCGGGGAUGUAUUUUUCUCUUUCUUUGAGUCCAAGUGUGUUGUUCGAUCCUUUUAUUUUUAUUUUCCUGGACCGUUUUCUUAAAGCUCAUUCUUUUUUGCCUCUCCCUUCCGUGUCUCUGCCCCCCCCCUCCUCAGUUUCAUCUUCUUCCUUUUCUCCCUCCCUCUCUUACCCCAUCUGCCCUAUUUCAAUCUUGAUCUACCCCAGGCUCUCCUUUGCUGGUUUCUUCUCUUUUCCUUUCCUCUACAGUCUGUCCCCUCCCCCGCCCGUGGAUCUGCUUCUCGGGCAUCCCCUCCCUCCUCAUCCAUCUUGGGAGAUGAAUAUGUCGCCUUAUUGGAUGCGGAGGCCAAAGCAGGGCAAUGGGGCUCGGCCAACGCCGCACAUUUUCUUCAUGCAUAUUGAGAAUAUGGUAAUGAGCGCGUUUGCAUUGUUGCAUGGAAAUGAUGCGACUCCCUCUGCGGUGCGGAGUGGGCAAGGUUGGUGUGGACCCAAGAGAGCUCGGUAGUGGGGACUGGGCCUGGUGGCCAUAGUGACCCACGGGGGGACAAGGACGUGACCUCUAGGAGCGCCCUGCUCUCCCUCCGCCUGCUCUGGCUUCCAGAAAGGCGUCACUACCCGGGUUAAACCUUGGAGAAGGGAAGCCAGCCUCGCUUGCCCGCCCGGUUGUAGCGUCCCUGGUCCCGGCCUGAAAACCCUUCCCCGCUAUUUUAGAGUUCUGGGAAGGAGAGUCUGUUCUCUAAUGGCUACACAUUGUUUGCAACUUGAGUGAUCCUUUAGGAUGAAACACGGCCCUACGCCAUCCGGCGGGCGGGUGGACAUCGUUUGCCCCGCCAGGUUGAACUCUGGCCAGUUGGCCCUCAGCGGGGAUAAGGUUGAACACCCCUCCCCCCAGUUAUCCAACAGAGGCAGCUCUUCCCCGAGGCCAGCCAAGUUCAGGUGAAGGGACCCAGGGCCUGCAGAAGGGUGAAAUUCUGUUGAAGCAGGCCAGGCUCUGCCUGGGACUGGGAAGGAAGCCAUGUUACACUUGCUGGGAGCUCAGAGCCCCGGAACCCCUAUUUAGCAGUCAAACCUCACCACAGCUCACCUCAGGACAUUUUCCUGCCUCCUUCUCCCCCAUUUCCUAUUCGGGAAGUCCCUAGCAGGGGCUCCAGGGCCGAAAUGCAUUGUGGAAAGGCAGCUCUGAAUAGGGUCAGGUUUCCCAACCUUCUAGCAUUCUGCCCGUGGCUAAGGACUGAAGAGUUUCGCUUCAACCGAGUGCUUUUCAAAACUCAAGUGUCUCUUUCUGGGAAAGCGUUUGAUCCGUCCCCUACUUCGGCAAACUGGAAAGUAGCGGUUAGCAGAAAGGAAACCUAGCUAGGAGCAAACCAUGCUCCUAAGCCUUGCACCUUCCCACUUGGGGUUCAAGUGCUUCCUGUGUUAUUAACAAGGCAGCUUUGGGUGUGUGAGUAGUGACUCUUGGAAGACAAGAGCAUAAAAACGAAUGUUUCUUCCUUGGUCCUCUUAUGUCUUAAAAUGAUGUCAGGGGUCUCAAGGGCUGUCCUGGUUUGUGGCUUGGUGGUGGUGUUUUCUGCUAAAACCAGUGUGAAAAUGUGAAGGCAAAACCAACGUGCUGAAUUAUUACUGCAAAUAAGCUCAUUUAAACGUUUUUCAGG
rnacentral:lncRNA from 1 species